rnacentral:tRNA from 1 species
GGGGAGGUUCCCGAGUGGCCAAAGGGGGCAGACUGUAAAUCUGUUAGCUACGCUUUCGAUGGUUCGAAUCCAUCUCUCCCCACCA